GACGAACACUGGCGGCGUGCCUAAUACAUGCAAGUCGACCUUAGUGGCGAACGGGUGCGUAACACGUGGGUCACCUGCCCCUCAGAAGGGGAUAACACUUUGAAACAGGUGCUCAUACCGUCUACUGCUGGCUGGACCCUCGGUGCAUUAGCUAGUUGGUGAGGUAACGGCUCACCAAGGCCACGAUGCAUAGACGACCUGAGAGGGUGAUCGGCCACAUGGGGACUGAGACACGGCCCAAACUCCUACGGGAGGCAGCAGUAGGGAAGCUUCGGCAAUGGACGAAAGUCGGACCGAGCAACGCCGCGUGAGUGAAGAAGGUUUUCGGAUCGUAAAACUCUGUUGUUAGAGAAGCGGUAUCUAACCAGAAAGCCACGGCUAACUACGUGCCAGCAGCCGCGGUAAUAC
rnacentral:rRNA from 1 species